rnacentral:rRNA from 1 species
ACGAACGCUGGCGGCGUGCUUCACACAUGCAAGUCGAACGAUGAACCGGUUUCGGCCGGGGAUUAGUGGCGAACGGGUGAGUAACACGUGGGCAAUCUGCCCUGCACUCUGGGAUAAGCCCGGGAAACUGGGUCUAAUACCGGAUACGACACUCCGAGGCAUCUUGGGGUGUGGAAAGUUCCGGCGGUGCAGGAUGAGCCCGCGGCCUAUCAGCUUGUUGGUGGGGUAAUGGCCUACCAAGGCGACGACGGGUAGCCGGCCUGAGAGGGUGACCGGCCACACUGGGACUGAGACACGGCCCAGACUCCUACGGGAGGCAGCAGUGGGGAAUAUUGCACAAUGGGCGAAAGCCUGAUGCAGCGACGCCGCGUGAGGGAUGACGGCCUUCGGGUUGUAAACCUCUUUCAGCAGGGAAGAAGCGAAAGUGACGGUACCUGCAGAAGAAGCACCGGCUAACUACGUG